rnacentral:rRNA from 1 species
AGACCCGAAACCCGGUGAUCUAGCCAUGGGCAGGUUGAAGGUUGGGUAACACUAACUGGAGGACCGAACCGACUAAUGUUGAAAAAUUAGCGGAUGACUUGUGGCUGGGGGUGAAAGGCCAAUCAAACCGGGAGAUAGCUGGUUCUCCCCGAAAGCUAUUUAGGUAGCGCCUCGUGAAUUCAUCUCCGGGGGUAGAGCACUGUUUCGGCAAGGGGGUCAUCCCGACUUACCAACCCGAUGCAAACUGCGAAUACCGGAGAAUGUUAUCACGGGAGACACACGGCGGGUGCUAACGUCCGUCGUGAAGAGGGAAACAACCCAGACCGCCAGCUAAGGUCCCAAAGUCAUGGUUAAGUGGGAAACGAUGUGGGAAGGCCCAGACAGCCAGGAUGUUGGCUUAGAAGCAGCCAUCAUUUAAAGAAAGCGUAAUAGCUCACUGGUCGAGUCGGCCUGCGCGGAAGAUGUAACGGGGCUAAACCAUGCACCGAAGCUGCGGCAGCGACACUGUGUGUUGUUGGGUAGGGGAGCGUUCUGUAAGCCUGUGAAGGUGUGCUGUGAGGCAUGCUGGAGGUAUCAGAAGUGCGAAUGCUGACAUAAGUAACGAUAAAGCGGGUGAAAAGCCCGCUCGCCGGAAGACCAAGGGUUCCUGUCCAACGUUAAUCGGGGCAGGGUGAGUCGACCCCUAAGGCGAGGCCGAAAGGCGUAGUCGAUGGGAAACAGGUUAAUAUUCCUGUACUUGGUGUUACUGCGAAGGGGGGACGGAGAAGGCUAUGUUGGCCGGGCGACGGUUGUCCCGGUUUAAGCGUGUAGGCUGGUUUUCCAGGCAAAUCCGGAAAAUCAAGGCUGAGGCGUGAUGACGAGGCACUACGGUGCUGAAGCAACAAAUGCCCUGCUUCCAGGAAAAGCCUCUAAGCAUCAGGUAACAUCAAAUCGUACCCCAAACCGACACAGGUGGUCAGGUAGAGAAUACCAAGGCGCUUGAGAGAACUCGGGUGAAGGAACUAGGCAAAAUGGUGCCGUAACUUCGGGAGAAGGCACGCUGAUAUGUAGGUGAAGUCCCUCGCGGAUGGAGCUGAAAUCAGUCGAAGAUACCAGCUGGCUGCAACUGUUUAUUAAAAACACAGCACUGUGCAAACACGAAAGUGGACGUAUACGGUGUGACGCCUGCCCGGUGCCGGAAGGUUAAUUGAUGGGGUCAGCGCAAGCGAAGCUCUUGAUCGAAGCCCCGGUAAACGGCGGCCGUAACUAUAACGGUCCUAAGGUAGCGAAAUUCCUUGUCGGGUAAGUUCCGACCUGCACGAAUGGCGUAAUGAUGGCCAGGCUGUCUCCACCCGAGACUCAGUGAAAUUGAACUCGCUGUGAAGAUGCAGUGUACCCGCGGCAAGACGGAAAGACCCCGUGAACCUUUAC